CGAGUCGGCCGGACGGUCGCGGCAGCAAUCCAGCUGUCGAGGAAAGUCCGGGCUCCACAGGGCAGGGUGGUCGCCAACAGCGACCCGGGGUGACCCGCGGGAAAGUGCCACAGAGAACAAACCGCCGGUGCUCGCACCGGUAAGGGUGAAACGGUGGGGUAAGAGCCCACCAGCGCCCGGGGUGACCCGGGCGGCUCGGCAAACCCCACCCGGAGCAAGGUCAAGAGGGGCUCCUCCGGGAGCCCUGCGGAAGCGCUUGAGGGCUGCCCGCCCGAGCUUCCGGGUAGACCGCACGAGGCCGUUGGCAACAGCGGUCCCAGAUGGAUGACCGUCGCUCCCGCCCUCGGGCGGGAGAACAGAACCCGGCUUACAGGUCGGCUCGUCCC
rnacentral:RNase_P_RNA from 1 species